rnacentral:rRNA from 1 species
UACCAGCACCCCGAGUGGUCGGGACGUUUAUUGGGCCUAAAGCAUCCGUAGCCGGUUCUACAAGUCUUCCGUUAAAUCCACCUGCUUAACAGAUGGGCCGCGGAAGAUACUAUAGAGCUAGGAGGCGGGAGAGGCAAGCGGUACUCGAUGGGUAGGGGUAAAAUCCGUUGAUCCAUUGAAGACCACCAGUGGCGAAGGCGGCUGCCA